CUAAGUUUACAGAGGAUUACAUUCAGAAUUCUCUUCCCUGUGAGGUCAGAGCCAUGCUUCCCAUCACAGACUGGGAUGGUACCCAAGCCAGCACAGUUGUGCAUGCAGAAUGACAGCCUCCACAUUUAGACAAUGACUCAUCCCUUCGAAUAUCGCUGGGCUUGGAAUGACUUGAAAGAGAAGGAAGGAAGGAUAGCGAUGUUGAAAUCUCAGUGGUGUGCUGAUGGAGACACACUCCUGCGAAUGAAAACCAAAAAUGAAUGCUUCUGUUCCCUCCCUCACUGGCUGAUACUCAAUUAAAACUUUGAUACCAAUAAAACUUUGAGAGCCAGGCAUUGCUUUAAUAAGGAAAAGACUGAGUUAUACAUGCAGGAAAAUGUCUACAAACAUCCUAAACUUGAUUGCUUUUUGGGUAAUGCUAAUUUGUGAAGAUCAGUGAGAAAUGCACGUGGGAUGUAAAGACAAGUUAGUGGUCCACACUGAUGAACAGGACUUUGCUGUUGAUGCCUGCUGCAAAUGUGGGAAAUAAUCUCCAGUCACUGCCCUCCAAAAGCUAACAAUUUAAUGAGAAGCCAGAAUGAACACUUGGCAGAAACACACAAGUAUAUGGUAUUUAAUUUAAAGAGAACAUCAUAUUCUGGCGUUGGAGAAAAACAUCAAGGACGAUCCAGGUGAGAUGGAGUUAAUCAAAGAGGACUUACUGAAGAGGUAUGAGCUUUGUGCCACGAGAUUUGGAAGGAAGGAAAGACCAGAUGGCAAGAAGGCUAGGAAGCAGAUGCCCAAAGCAGGUGAAUGGCUUGUACAUACGCCCAGAAGAGGAGAAAUGGUGAAUGCAGCAAAUCCUCACAUCAGGAAGAUAAGGCUGUUUAUAUUUACAUAUUUCUGUACACUUCUCAAAGCAAGUUACCCCAUUCUAUGUGGACGAUGACUUCAGGAAACAGCCUGAAUUCAGAAACUUCCAGCUGGAAUCCGGCCACGUCUUUGCACAAAAUCAUCCACUCUUAAAGACUGUCAGAUUCAAAAUUGCUUAACUUUCAUCCCUAAUUAAAAAGGCCAGAAGAAUGCUUGGUAAAU
rnacentral:lncRNA from 10 species